rnacentral:lncRNA from 1 species
ACAAUAUAAAAUAUUCAAAUAUUAUUCAUUUUCAAAUAUAUCCCGUUUAUUUACCUCACCAAAUCAUAAAUGGCGAGCAACAUGAUGCUCCUACUUCACCAAAAGAGACGUAUCGUAUGGUCCUCCUGGAUAUCCAGUCGGCUCUGCUGCAGAUGAAGAUGCGUCCCGGCCUAAACUGCGGUCUGGAAUCCUACCAUUUGCACCUCGUCUUCGAACCACUACAAAAAAAUAUUAUAACAAAAUAAUUAAAAUAUAAAAUAUAAAAAAA